rnacentral:rRNA from 1 species
AUUGAACGCUGGCGGCAUGCUUUACACAUGCAAGUCGAACGGUAACAGGCCGCAAGGUGCUGACGAGUGGCGAACGGGUGAGUAAUGCAUCGGAACGUGCCCAGUCGUGGGGGAUAACGCAGCGAAAGCUGUGCUAAUACCGCAUACGAUCUAUGGAUGAAAGCGGGGGACCGUAAGGCCUCGCGCGAUUGGAGCGGCCGAUGUCAGAUCAGGUAGUUGGUGGGGUAAAGGCUCACCAAGCCAACGAUCUGUAGCUGGUCUGAGAGGCCGACCAGCCACACUGGGACUGAGACACGGCGCGGACUCCGACGGGAGGCAGCAGUGUGGAAUUUUGGACAAUGGGCGGAAGCCUGAUCCAGCAAUGCCGCGUGCAGGAAGAAGGCCUUCGGGUUGUAAACUGCUUUUGUACGGAACGAAACGGCGAGCUCUAAUACAGUUUGCUAAUGACGGUACCGUAAGAAUAAGCACCGGCUAACUACGUGCCAGCAGCCGCCGCUG